rnacentral:rRNA from 1 species
UACGAAGGGGGCUAGCGUUGCUCGGAAUCACUGGGCGUAAAGGGUGCGUAGGCGGGUCUUUAAGUCAGGGGUGAAAUCCUGGAGCUCAACUCCAGAACUGCCUUUGAUACUGAAGAUCUUGAGUUCGGGAGAGGUGAGUGGAACUGCGAGUGUAGAGGUGAAAUUCGUAGAUAUUCGCAAGAACACCAGUGGCGAAGGCGGCUCACUGGCCCGAUACUACGCUGAG